rnacentral:rRNA from 1 species
GGUUAAGCGACUAAGCGUACACGGUGGAUGCCCUGGCAGUCAGAGGCGAUGAAGGACGUGCUAAUCUGCGAAAAGCGUCGGUAAGGUGAUAUGAACCGUUAUAACCGGCGAUGUCCGAAUGGGGAAACCCAGUGCAAUUCGUUGCACUAUCGUUAACUGAAUACAUAGGUUAACGAGGCGAACCGGGGGAACUGAAACAUCUAAGUACCCCGAGGAAAAGAAAUCAACCGAGAUUCCCCCAGUAGCGGCGAGCGAACGGGGAGCAGCCCAGAGUCUGAAUCAGCUUGUGUGUUAGUGGAACGGUCUGGAAAGUCCGACGGUACAGGGUGAUAGUCCCGUACACCAAAAUGCACAGGCUGUGAACUCGAAGAGUAGGGCGGGACACGUGGUAUCCUGUCUGAAUAUGGGGGGACCAUCCUCCAAGGCUAAAUACUCCUGACUGACCGAUAGUGAACCAGUACCGUGAGGGAAAGGCGAAAAGAACCCCGGCGAGGGGAGUGAAAAAGAACCUGAAACCGUGUACGUACAAGCAGUGGGAGCACCUUCGGGUGUGACUGCGUACCUUUUGUAUAAUGGGUCAGCGACUUAUAUUCUGUAGCAAGGUUAACCGUAUAGGGGAGCCGCAGGGAAACCGAGUCUUAACUGGGCGUUAAGUUGCAGGGUAUAGACCCGAAACCCGGUGAUCUAGCCAUGGGCAGGUUGAAGGUUGGGUAACACUAACUGGAGGACCGAACCGACUAAUGUUGAAAAAUUAGCGGAUGACUUGUGGCUGGGGGUGAAAGGCCAAUCAAACCGGGAGAUAGCUGGUUCUCCCCGAAAGCUAUUUAGGUAGCGCCUCGUGAACUCAUCUUCGGGGGUAGAGCACUGUUUCGGCUAGGGGGUCAUCCCGACUUACCAACCCGAUGCAAACUACGAAUACCGAAGAAUGUUAUCACGGGAGACACACGGCGGGUGCUAACGUCCGUCGUGAAGAGGGAAACAACCCAGACCGCCAGCUAAGGUCCCAAAGUCAUGGUUAAGUGGGAAACGAUGUGGGAAGGCACAGACAGCCAGGAUGUUGGCUUAGAAGCAGCCAUCAUUUAAAGAAAGCGUAAUAGCUCACUGGUCGAGUCGGCCUGCGCGGAAGAUGUAACGGGGCUAAACCAUGCACCGAAGCUGCGGCAGCGACACUAUGUGUUGUUGGGUAGGGGAGCGUUCUGUAAGCCUGCGAAGGUGUGCUGUGAGGCAUGCUGGAGGUAUCAGAAGUGCGAAUGCUGACAUAAGUAACGAUAAAGCGGGUGAAAAGCCCGCUCGCCGGAAGACCAAGGGUUCCUGUCCAACGUUAAUCGGGGCAGGGUGAGUCGACCCCUAAGGCGAGGCCGAAAGGCGUAGUCGAUGGGAAACAGGUUAAUAUUCCUGUACUUGGUGUUACUGCGAAGGGGGGACGGAGAAGGCUAUGUUAGCCGGGCGACGGUUGUCCCGGUUUAAGCAUGUAGGCUGGUUGUCCAGGCAAAUCCGGAUAAUCAAGGCUGAGGUGUGAUGACGAGGCACUACGGUGCUGAAGUAACAAAUGCCCUGCUUCCAGGAAAAGCCUCUAAGCAUCAGGUAACAUUAAAUCGUACCCCAAACCGACACAGGUGGUCAGGUAGAGAAUACCAAGGCGCUUGAGAGAACUCGGGUGAAGGAACUAGGCAAAAUGGUGCCGUAACUUCGGGAGAAGGCACGCUGGUGUGUAGGUGAAG